GAGGAGGAAGAUUUGCAUUUAGAACCAGAUUUGGUAGAACUUACAUUUGAUAAUACAGCAAAUAAUUAAUUGGGUGGACCAUAGGAAAUACUAACUUUGUAGAAUUUUGUUAAAUAGUUUUUAGAUAGGAAUCAAUUGUAUGUUUGCGAGGACACUAUACAGAUAGGAGUGGGGCUAUAUAGAAAAGAUAUUAAUUCAUUUUUGUAAGUUAUUGAUAAAAUAGACUAAUAGUCCAUAGAAUAAUCAAUUCAGGAGGACGAAUGAUUGAUUUAGUUAUUAAAAGCGGUUAAUUACAAAAUUACGAUUAGAAUCUGAAAAUCAAAAGCAAUUAUAUAGGAGUUGUAGAAGUUUGUUGGAGUGCCAGAUUGUGAUAGUCAUGAGUCGAGAUAAGCUUGGUGCUACUUCUUUACCUCUUUGUUUCUUUGUUGUUGAAGAGUAAUGGAUAGUUUUUGAAUACUGAGAAGUGAGUCUGUAGAAUAAAUCAGAGAUUGAUUUAUGAGUUAUUGAUUAUAUAAUUGGAGUAUU
rnacentral:lncRNA from 1 species